GACGAACGCUGGCGGCGUGCUUAACACAUGCAAGUCGAACGGAAAGGCCCUGCUUUUGUGGGGUGCUCGAGUGGCGAACGGGUGAGUAACACGUGAGUAACCUGCCCUUGACUUUGGGAUAACUUCAGGAAACUGGGGCUAAUACCGGAUAGGAGCUCCUGCUGCAUGGUGGGGGUUGGAAAGUUUCGGCGGUUGGGGAUGGACUCGCGGCUUAUCAGCUUGUUGGUGGGGUAGUGGCUUACCAAGGCUUUGACGGGUAGCCGGCCUGAGAGGGUGACCGGCCACAUUGGGACUGAGAUACGGCCCAGACUCCUACGGGAGGCAGCAGUGGGGAAUAUUGCACAAUGGGCGGAAGCCUGGUGCAGCAACGCCGCGUGCGGGAUGACGGCCUUCGGGUUGUAAACCGCUUUCGCCUGUGACGAAGCGUGAGUGACAGUAAUGGGUAAAGAAGCACCGGCUAACUACGUG
rnacentral:rRNA from 1 species